UCUAACUUAACCAAAUUGUGUUCAAAUGAUAAUUUAUUAGUUGUGAAGGACAAUAUGUUAUAUGUAAUAAGUAUACUCUGGUCUAAGAUGAGACAGUUGUAGGAUUCUGUGUUCCCGGCUUAUACAGGCAGUCAGGCAGCUUAGGUGCCAACAAGGCAGUGUCAGGCUCAGGCAGACACACAUCAUACUGUAGGACAUACACGUACAUACUUAUAUCCAACCUCACUAGAGCUACAGAAAUCCAGUGGACAUUUUAUGGAAUGGAUAAAACAUAUAUUUGUAUGAUGUUUAAUGCUUUUAAAGCAAAUUCUGCACAGUAAGCAGAGUUCUGUUCCUACAGUUGACAUAUUGGUGACAGUCCAUACAACGAAAGGGUGCAGGGGGGGUCCCCCCUCCCCCCCCUCUGAAAAAUGUCCAGUGGCCCGUAUCGCCUCCAUCUGUUUGACGGCAUAUUCUGCUACUAAUGUGACAUGAACAACCGACAUUAUCACAUGUUAAGACGCUUAUACCGCGAAAAACAACUGUUAACCCCUCCUCACCCCUGACUUCCAUUUUUUCAAGUUUUUCUGUGGAUAACCCCCCCCCCC